UACGGAGGGUGCAAGCGUUAAUCGGAAUUACUGGGCGUAAAGCGCGCGUAGGCGGUUUGUUAAGCUGGAUGUGAAAGCCCCGGGCUCAACCUGGGAACUGCAUUCAGAACUGGCAGGCUAGAGUAUUGGAGAGGUGAGUGGAAUUUCCCGUGUAGCAGUGAAAUGCGUAGAUAUGGGAAGGAACACCAGUGGCGAAGGCGACUCACUGGCCAAAUACUGACGCUGAGGUGCGAAAGCGUGGGGAGCAAACGGG
rnacentral:rRNA from 1 species